GACGAACGCUGGCGGCGUGCUUAACACAUGCAAGUCAUGGGGGCCUGGGCAACCAGGCAACCGGCGAACGGGUGCGUAACACGUGAGCAACCUGCCUAGGUGUGGGGGAGUAGCCGGCCUAACGGCCGGGUAAUACCGCAUACGUUCUCGCUAGGGAGUCCUGGCGAGAGGAAACCCGUGGGGCGAACUCACUGGGGCGAGCUAGAGGGGCUCGCGGCCUAUCAGCUAGUUGGCGGGGUAACGGCCCACCAAGGCGGUGACGGGUAGCUGGUCUGAGAGGAU
rnacentral:rRNA from 1 species